GACGAACGCUGGCGGCGUGCCUAAUACAUGCCAGUAGAACGCUGAAGGAGGAGCUUGCUCUUCUGGAUGAGUUGCGAACGGGUGAGUAACGCGUAGGUAACCUGCCUGGUAGCGGGGGAUAACUAUUGGAAACGAUAGCUAAUACCGCAUAACAGUAGAUGGUGCAUGACAUUUACUUAAAAGGUGCAAUUGCAUCACUACCAGAUGGACCUGCGUUGUAUUAGCUAGUUGGUGGGGUAACGGCUCACCAAGGCGACGAUACAUAGCCGACCUGAGAGGGUGAUCGGCCACACUGGGACUGAGACACGGCCCAGACUCCUACGGGAGGCAGCAGUAGGGAAUCUUCGGCAAUGGACGGAAGUCUGACCGAGCAACGCCGCGGGAGUGAAGAAGGUUUUCGGAUCGUAAAGCUCUGUUGUAAGAGAAGAACGAGUGUGAGAGUGGAAAGUUCACACUGUGACGGUAUCUUACCAGAAAGGGACGGCUAACUACGUG
rnacentral:rRNA from 1 species